rnacentral:lncRNA from 1 species
ACACCGGCGUCCCACAAACUGCCACACCUUCACUAGCCCACUUCGCGCAACCAAAGUCCGCAAUUUUGACACCAUUUUCAUCGACCAACAAAUUCGCACCCUUGAUAUCACAAUGCACUACUCCAUUCGAAUGAAGGUACUCCAAACCUUGAAUAAUUUGUCUUGUGUAGUUCGAUAUCUCUAAUUCAUUCAAACGAUCACAAUUCUGUACUUUUAUUGCAUCGAUAACAGUACCUCCUGGCAUGUACUCCAUUAGUAAGUUGUACAUUAUCUUGUUUUCUUCUCUACUAAUGUCGUACCCUUUGUAGCUUACCACAUAAGGACUACUCAAAAGGGAAAGAAACUUUUGUUCUCUUUGCAAGGUCUCCGACUGUGAUAAAACAACGGAUUUGACUGCAAAAACCUCUCUUGUGGCGGUGGAGGUGGCGGUGGAGACGGUGGCAGAGGACCCCCGGCC